GACGAACGCUGGCGGCGUGCUUAACACAUGCAAGUCGAGCGGAAAGGCCACUUCGGUGGUACUCGAGCGGCGAACGGGUGAGUAACACGUGAGUAAUCUGCCCCUGGCUUUGGGAUAGCCACCGGAAACGGUGAUUAAUACCGGAUACGACCACUUCUCGCAUGGGAUGGUGGUGGAGAGUCUUUUCGGCCAGGGAUGUGCUCGCGGCCUAUCAGCUUGAUGGUGAGGUAAUGGCUCACCAUGGCUUCGACGGGUAGCCGGCCUGGGAGGGUGACCGGUCACACUGGGACUGAGACACGGCCCAGACUCCUACGGGAGGCAGCAGUGGGGAAUAUUGGACAAUGGGCGGAAGCCUGAUCCAGCAACGCCGCGUGAGGGAUGACGGCCUUCGGGUUGUAAACCUCUUUCAGCAGGGACGAAGCGCAAGUGACGGUACCUGCAGAAGAAGCACCGGCCAACUACGUGCCAGCAGCCGCCGUAA
rnacentral:rRNA from 1 species